rnacentral:rRNA from 1 species
CCUACGGGGGGCAGCAGUGGGGAAUCUUGCGCAAUGGGCGAAAGCCUGACGCAGCGACGCCGCGUGAGGGAUGAAGGUCUUCGGAUCGUAAACCUCUGUCAGCAGGGAAGAACGGUCACUGUGCUAAUCAGCAGUGAAUUGACGGUACCUGACUAAGAAGCCCUGGCUAACUACGUGCCAGCAGCCGCGGUAAUACGUAGGGGGCAAGCGUUAUCCGGAUUUACUGGGGGUAAAGGGAGCGUAGGCGGUUUAGCAAGUCAGAAGUGAAAGCCCUGGGCUCAACGCCGGGACUGCUUUUGAAACUGUUGAACUAGAUUGCAGGAGAGGUGAGUGGAAUUCCUAGUGUAGCGGUGGAAUGCGUAGAUAGUAGGAGGAACACCAGUGGCGAAGGCGGCUUACUGGACUGUAAAUGACGCUGAGGCUCGAAAGCAUGGGGAGCGAACAGGAUUAGAUACCCUGGUAGUC